CCCGAUGAACCUGAAUAUCCGUUAUGGAAAAUUCAUCAUUAAAAUUGUAAUAUUUAAAUAAUAUUAUGAGGAUAGUGUGCAUUUUUUCCAUAUAAGGACAUUGUAAUCUAUUAGCAUAUCCCAAAUUUAUCAUAAAAUAUAACUUAUAGUUUAUUCAAAUUAAAGUGCUUGCAUUUUAACACAGAAUAAAUGUUAUUAAUUUGAUAAAGUGCUGAUAGAUUUAUAUGAUUACAGUGCGUUAAUUUUUCGGAAUUAUAUAAUGGCAUAAUUAUCAUUGAUUUUUAUGUUUAUUAUAUGCACUUGUAUGAUUAACAAUGCGAAAGAUUCAGGAUACUUCGGG
rnacentral:rRNA from 1 species